rnacentral:rRNA from 1 species
AGUGGCGGACGGGUGAGUAACGCGUGGGUAACCUGCCUUAUACAGGGGGAUAACAGUUGGAAACGACUGCUAAUACCGCAUAAGCGCACAGUGCCGCAUGGCACAGUGUGAAAAACUCCGGUGGUAUAAGAUGGACCCGCGUCUGAUUAGCUAGUUGGUGAGGUAACGGCUCACCAAGGCGACGAUCAGUAGCCGGCUUGAGAGAGUGAUCGGCCACAUUGGGACUGAGACACGGCCCAAACUCCUACGGGAGGCAGCAGUGGGGAAUAUUGCACAAUGGGGAAACCCUGAUGCAGCAACGCCGCGUGAGUGAAGAAGUAUUUCGGUAUGUAAAGCUCUAUCAGCAGGGAAGAUAAUGACGGUACCUGACUAAGAAGCCCCGGCUAACUACGUGCCAGCAGCCGCGGUAAUACGUAGGGGGCAAGCGUUAUCCGGAUUUACUGGGUGUAAAGGGAGCGUAGGCGGCUUGGCAAGUCUGAUGUGAAAGCCCAGGGCUCAACCCUGGGACUGCAUUGGAAACUGUCAGGCUAGAGUGCAGGAGAGGUAAGUGGAAUUCCUAGUGUAGCGGUGAAAUGCGUAGAUAUUAGGAGGAACACCAGUGGCGAAGGCGGCUUACUGGACUGUAACUGACGCUGAGGCUCGAAAGCGUGGGGAGCAAACAGGAUUAGAUACCCUGGUAGUCCACGCUGUAAACGAUGAAUACUAGGUGU